UACGUAGGGGGCAAGCGUUGUCCGGAAUUAUUGGGCGUAAAGCGCGCGCAGGCGGUUAAUUAAGUUGGGUGUUUAAGCCCGGGGCUCAACCCCGGUUCGCAUCCAAAACUGGUUGACUUGAGUGUAGGAGAGGAAAGUGGAAUUCCACGUGUAGCGGUGAAAUGCGUAGAGAUGUGGAGGAACACCAGUGGCGAAGGCGACUUUCUGGCCUGUUCUUGACGCUGAGGCGCGAAAGCUAGGGAGCAAACGGG
rnacentral:rRNA from 1 species